UUCUGCGGUGGGGGACACACACAUACACACACAGACAGUCACAAAGCGAGCUUCAGCAUUCGGCGACUAACGUGACCCGGAAACAGCCGGCGGCGCCGUCUUCCGACAUUUGUGUGACCCGAGUGAGAAGCAGGAAGUGGAAGACACACGAGUGGGCACUCACCUGUUGGGCCCGAGCCCUCCUGCCAGCGGUGUGUGGAACUGGCUCGCCUCUAUCGUGUCGGCGACGCCACGCGUCGACCUUGCCGAGGUGGUCCGCCGUCGACCCCUCUGCCGCCGUUCACCGGAUUUGCGCGUGGCGGCCGGAGGAGGGUGGGAGUGUCUUCUGGGAAGGAUCGGGGGUGGGGCAAUGUCCUCUCGACAGGUGAUGGCCGUGUUGAGUUCACAAGGAAGAGGAGACACUCCUGCGCUGCCUUCUCUGGACAAUACUGGAACUGCCACAACAAAACUUCACCAUGUACAUGUGUUUUGUUUUGCCGUAAGUAUCAACAGUGAAAAUGAGCAAUAGAGACCGCAUUGAAAACAUGUUUUUUUUUUUAUGUAGUUAGUUUUUCCACUCCCAUGCCAGUGUGUCUCACCACUUAUUCCAUCUGUGGAGGGAAAGAUGGGACGGGUCGCUGCCUCCUUAUCACCGCAAUGAUGGUUCCUGUGUCUCCUCCUGGACUUGAUGGGGGAGAACAGGACGCCUUCCGCCUUGCCACCUGGUUUUCCCUCUCCCUUCAAGUUCAAAGGGUCAGUGAUGUCUCGAGGAACCAGUAUGUCCACGGGCUCCGUGCUACGGGACGGCAGUGGUGAACACUUCGGAGUAGUUUGAUUGGUGGCCCUGAUGGUGAGUCAGACACAUGGAUGUUACUGGUAAAGUACAAAAUGGAUAUAUAGUGCAAUGGUGGUUAAGUACCCAAGAACAAAUAUGUCAUUACUGCACUUGUAUAAAAAAGAAUAAUAUAAUGUCACGAAAUAAACUGCUUUAAUUGG